rnacentral:lncRNA from 1 species
AGGAAAUGUAACUAGCACAAAGAGGAAAGCUGAAAUCUCAGCUGAGCCAUCCCUACUGAAAGGUUAUUAUCCUUUCUUGUUUCCUUUACAGAGGAGAGAGGCGGUCUGGUUAACUUAAUUCUCAGGAUACUGUGGAAUGUAGGUGCCAUGUGGAUGAAGGACAAAGUCCUGGUGAUAGGAGGAACAGUGACUGUUGUCACUGGAUUCUCAGCAUCCAGUUUGCCUACACUUCUGGAUGGUGAGUCAGGCUGGUGGCCCUGAUGCCUGGCAGUGGGCCCCGCCCAACUUGAAAAUGAAGAGUCGCUUUCUUUUGCGCAUACUCGGGCUGCUGCGGCUCCAGGUCGCUGUCUGCCAAAAGCCCACGCUGAGAUUGAACCUUCCAGAACAAAAUGGCAGCCUGCCCUCCGAUCUGGAGUACAACUCCUCAGUGCACCUGCCUUCAGAACUUGUGUCACUGCUGGAACGUGGCAGGAGCCUCCAUCCUACGUUCUCGUUGCCUAACCUAGCCUUCACAAGGCUGGCUUUGGAGAUUCGCCAGCUGCAAACAUCUUCCCAGGGCAUGCCCACAUUCCCGUGGUGUACCUGUGCCAAGGGACAGGGGAGGCUUUGAAGCAUCUGGCUCCAACUCCCAGAACUCUAUAGGAAUCUUGCCCAAAAUACAGAGAUUAC